rnacentral:lncRNA from 1 species
GAAAGGGGCCUCAGAGGGCAUCCUCCCUACUCCAUGGCCUUGCCCUUGUCUCUCCACCUCCCCGAUAGAAGGCACUAGAUCUCAAUAUAAGCCCCAGGGCAGCAAGACUGAUCUAGCUUCCCCAUUAUUCCGCUUGGGAAUAAUGCCCAAGGACCACUAGGCCUGAGUCUCACAGCUCCAGGCCUGGAAAGGAGCCUACUUGUCCCGUCACAGAUCACAACUGGGCGGGCCAGCUCUGAGCCUUUGCUAUUUGAAGGGAUGUUUUGAUAACCUCUUACCGCUCCUCCCCAACCCUGCAAAGCCCCACCUGAUCACCCCACACUCUGGGCCUCCUCUUAUCUCCUUACUCUAAGCUCCCCAUCCAUUACUGUCGGCUGGCAACACAAGUUUUAUCUGAGCCUCUGUGGAAUGGAAUUGAUUUCUGUGAAUAAUUGGAAUAGCUGGCUAGUGACCCAGUAUUGCUGCCACCAGGGUAGUUGGAGCUUCAAAGCUCUCAUCCAACUCUGCCUCUCUCUCUCCAUUCCCGUGGCUGUUGUCUGGUCCAAACCAUCCUGACCUUCUGCUUGGAUCAUGAUUACAGCUUCCUAACUGCGCUGCCUCUUUCUGAUUACCCUGCACCCCAUCAUCCACUCCAAUCUGUCCUCUACAUAGCGGCUAAAUAGAUCUUUAAAAGCUCAAACCUGCCUAGACAGUAACGCCUUUCUACCUUGGCCUGCCAUUUAGGGGUCUUUCUGAUGGAAUUCCAGCUUAACUUUCCAGCCUUACAGCCCCUGUUGGUCCUAGUUCUCUCUGGCCACCAGAACUCAUCUGCUUCCUCCUCCCACGAGAAACUGGGGAGAGAUGGAGACAGCACCCAAAGCCUGCUCUUCUUUAAGCUGUUUCCUCUCAACUGGGCUUUCCAUCGUGCCAUUGCUGGGCUACCUUGGCUUGGCCAAGCCCCAUCUCCUAUUGUCGCAGUGUGAAUACCAGAAGAAGCAAACAGCCUGCAGAUGGGACACUUAUUCACCCCUGAUGCAAGUGUGACUGGAGCUAUUGAAUGACUGAUGAGAUCCGUUGUAACAAUCAUUCUGGCAAAGGUGUGGAGAUGGCUCAGAGGAUUGAGCUGGGAGCAGGGUGGCCUCAGCCACAUGUGCUACCAUGGCUCUGAGCAGGGGCCUUCUUGGAUCAUUCAACCAGCAGAUGAAGAAAAAGAGGGCGAAUGGAGAAUUAUAUGUCAGAGAAUUUUAUGGAUCUUACUGGAGGGUAAAUUCAAUCCUGGUAACUUAAUUGUGGGCAAAAGUGCAAAUCUCCUGGCAUCCAAUUCUUACCAUAGAUUUCUGAUGUCUGGAAGCAUGGUGGAGCAACACACUUCUGAAGGGACAGCAGGUGCUGUAGUGAAGUUUUCCACAAAAGAAGAAAAUGUUGUGCUCUUUGUCUACCUCACCAACUUCCCUUCAGCCCUUGGGGAGUGUAGAAGACCUCCAUGUUCAUCAGGGCUCCAUUUUAAGGAGAGAACAGAAGUUGGAGGAUAAGGUGGGAGUUCUGAUUGAUGUGGACCAGAUAAGGUGACAUCUGGCCAAAGAGGAAGCUGGGAGCCACAGACUGCUAAUAGGAUGAAGGGAGACACAGCUACCCCUCUGUGGGGUCAUCAGAGAUGGAGGGGGCUGGCAUAAAGAUGAACAUCUGCGUCCAAAACCAUAUAACUCCAUACACCACAUCAUCUAAUAGGAGACCAACAUAUUGUCAGAGGCCGCCAGCAACAGAGGGAAGCAGCUGUGUUGUCAGUCCAUCUCCUGAUGAAGCAAGGGCAGUUUGAAUGCUGAAUGGAGGUGGAUGAGGAAGGGGAACACUACGUGAAAAUAUUUGUUUUACACAGAUGAAAUGUUGGAUCAGAACGCACGGAACUACAUCCAGCCCUACAGGUAAUUAUGAUUCAGCUUGGUGCAGGGACCUGCGUUUGGAAGCCGCUGCUUCAGAGUGUUCCAGAGAACGGCAGCCUCACGCAAGCAUGAAGCGUUUAACUGUGCAACACAAAUCAACAACCUGGGCUCCUAGAAUUCAGGGUGAGGUUUCACAGAGUGUCAGAGUUGAAAAGGAUCUUGGGGCUCACUGAUGAAGCAUUAGCGACGAGGAGCCUGAGGCCAGAGGGAACGUGCCACGGACAGCCUGAGCUACAGUGCAGGUCUCCUCCCUCCUCCGCAGCACUGCUGACCACGGCUUUCCGUGGUUAUAAUACUGUCACUUCCCCGCUAGCCCAAGGAUCUGAAAAUACUUUUGGGAGGCCGCGAGGAACACAAGGGGAGCAGAUAAUGACAUGGUCCACAACACACUUAAGGAGUUGGCAGAGUUUGGGAUCAGGGGAUUCUGCGCGUGUGUGGAUAAUCAGCAUUCAGGAGAAGGUGUAGUGCACACCCACAACUCAUGGAGACCCUACUGUGUGCUGGGCUCUGCAUUAGGCCAUGGAAAUAAAAAGAGGGUUUAAUCCUGGCUCCUGUCCUCGAGGAGCUCACAGCCUACUGGAGAGAGAGAGACAUACCCGGAUAUUCUCAAUGUGUUGCAACAAAUGCUAAGCUGGAGACAUGGGCAUGAGAUCCCCUGGUAGAGAGAGACCAUUAAGCUUCAAGUGAUCAUGCAGAAGAGCUACCAGCCAGUUUCAGAUAAUGGCCCUGGUCAUUGAGAGGUCACACUGUCUUCAUUAGACAGAGAAGGGAGAGCGUUUUGUGAUCCUCAAUAGGAACAGAAAUAUCAGCAGUUUGUGGCAUUAAGCCCACAAAUUUCAGGAAGUUGGAUUCCAAACUCUAGGACAUGAGGUCCAAAUAUGCUCAAAACAUAUGUACAAGGGUGUUUGUGGCAGCUUUCGUUUUAUUAGCCAAAGACUGGACACUACCCAACUACACAUUGUUGUGGCAAUCCCUCAGAAUUUCCUGCUUCUGAAGAACUCACAAAUAGAGACAGAUGAAUGAGCCUAUAUGGCCAUGGAGAACAAAGGGUAAAACACAAUUGCAUAUUUUAGUCUAAUGUGAAGGUUUUUCAUCAGUUCUAUAAUGUUUUGGCUUUUGAUUCAGCAGACAAAUGUGAUGGUUAUCUAUCCCUCAACAAAAAAAGUUUGCUAGAUUCUAGGGUCAUAGACAAGUGAACAGACACUUGGAUAGUAACAAUAAUGUAAAACUGCCAUCUUAUGUACAUGGGCAGUUCUUGCAACCUUGGAGAGCAAUUCACUCUGCAGCAUCAUGGCAGGGAGAAGAUCCACAAAGUGAAGACUUUACUAGUGAGGUGGUGUCAACAUUUUGAAGAAUGAGGUGGUUAUCUCAUAGAGUAUAAAGGGAAUGGGGACAUACACCAGAUUCAAUAUGCAGAAACCCUACUGAGCAAGGGAAAUUGAGGAAUAUAUUUGUCUAUCAAGAUUAAGGAAUGAGGCAGAGAGCACACUGUGAAGGGCUUCAUAUGCUAGGGUAAUGAAUUUAAGCUUUAUCCUCUAGGAUAGGAACUACUAAGAGGCUAAGAGGUAGUAUGCAUAGUGAUUAAAAGCGAGGUCCUAAAAUGGUACUGCUAAGUAGAAAUCCUGUUUUUACUAUUUAGUUGUAUGAACUUAAGCAAGUUACUAUAAAAACACUCUGUGACUCUGUUUAUUCAGCUGUAAGUAAGGAAUAAUAAUUUUUCCUCAUUACAUUUAUUGUUGGAAUUGAUUGAAUUAUUAUAUAUAAAGUGGUCAUAAUGGUGCCUAAUAGGUACUAUACUAUAAAGUAUAAGUACUACAAGAAAAUUAAGAAUGAUAAAGUAUUUGUUCACUCAUCAUUUUUAGUAUAUUGAAUUUUAUUGUUUAAGAGGGAUAAAAAGCAGGGGCUUUGGAACCAGAUUCAAAUCUCGACUCAUAAUUUUCAUUAAAACAAAAAAGUCCUCAUUGUCCUCAAGUUUUAGUUACUGCUUCCUGCUCCUGCUCCCUCAAGCCCAGGCCUGGUCACAAUCCUUUUAUUUUAGCUCCAGGAUAUUGCAAUAGGAUUUCCCUACACCUUAUUCACACAUUUGUAAAUGAUCUUUUAUUUGAAUGCCCCAAAAUUUGAGCAUUUCAACUUUUUUUUUUUUUAUUAGAACCACGACUGAUGAGGAACUGGUACUUAAAGUGUCUCCCAGAAAGAAACCCUCCAAAUAUGAUUCUGAAAUUGGUUUUCUUAUGUAUUCGAGGAGGGCACAGCUAAUGUAUGGAUGCAAUUUGCCAAUAUUUGAGGUACAAAGAUUAACUGCAAGUGAGGAGUAAGGUACAGAGAAGAAAACAAAAUGACUUGUUUGCUAUGGCAAAAAAUAGUAAUUGUAAAGACUGUGCAGUCCUCUACCUUCUUCAGACUACCCUGGAAGACGGACUUAAGGAAAAGGGGCAAUUUAAAGUUCUAAAUAGACAACUGAGAACAUGUUCGAAAAACCCAGAGGUCUCCAUUUCAGCUCUGAAGGAGUCCCUCAUCUUCUCCCUAGCCAAAAGACAUGCAGUAGAGGACUUUUAGUUUUCAGGAACCUAAUAGGUUAGAUGGGCACAUCUAUAAUUAAAGGGACACUCAUUCACCUUGAAGGGACAGAUACUCUGUUAUUGGAUCUGAUGUCCCUGCCAGCAGCACUUCUUAAUGCACAACUCAUAUACAUACAGAAUGCCCUUUCAUUCCAUGAUAUCCCAUACAACAGCAGUCCCCAACCUUUUUGAUACCAAGGACAGAUUUCAUGGAAAACAGUUUUUCCAUGGACUGGGGGAAGGGAGGAUUAGUUUGGUGAUGUAUCAAGUGCCUUAAAUCUAUUGGGCAGUUUAUUUCUACUAUUAUAGCAUUGUAAUAUGUAAUGAAAUAAUUA